GAGUUAGUGGCGGACGGGUGAGUAACGCGUGAGCAACCUGCCCUUCGGAGGGGGACGAACAGUUGGAAACGACUGCUAAUACCGCAUGACAUACAGAGAUCGCAUGGUCAUUGUAUCAAAGAUUUAUCGCCGAAGGAUGGGCUCGCGUCUGAUUAGCUGGUUGGUGAGGUAACGGCUCACCAAGGCGACGAUCAGUAGCCGGACUGAGAGGUUGAACGGCCACAUUGGGACUGAGAUACGGCCCAGACUCCUACGGGAGGCAGCAGUGGGGAAGUAUUGGGCAAUGGGGGCGAACCCUACGACCCAGCAACGCCGCGUGAAGGAAGAAGGCUUCGGGUUGUAAACUUCUUUAUCAGGGACGAUAAUGACGGUACCUGAUGAAUAAGCCACGGCUAACUACGUGCCAGCAGCGGC
rnacentral:rRNA from 1 species